CCUACGGGCGGCAGCAGUGAGGAAUAUUGGUCAAUGGACGCUAGCCUGAACCAGCCAAGUAGCGUGAAGGAUGACUGCCCUAUGGGUUGUAAACUUCUUUUAUAUGGGAAUAAAAUGUUCCAUGUAUAGUGUUUUGUAUGUACCAUAUGAAUAAGGAUCGGCUAACUCCGUGCCAGCAGCCGCGGUAAUACGGAGGAUCCGAGCGUUAUCCGGAUUUAUUGGGUUUAAAGGGAGCGUAGGUGGAUUGUUAAGUCAGUUGUGAAAGUUUGCGGCUCAACCGUAAAAUUGCAGUUGAAACUGGCAUUCUUGAGUACAGUAGAGGUGGGCGGAAUUCGUGGUGUAGCGGUGAAAUGCUUAGAUAUCACGAAGAACUCCGAUUGCGAAGGCAGUCCGCUGGACUGCAACUGACACUGAUGCUCGAAAGUGUGGGUAUCAAACAGGAUUAGAUACCCGGGUAGUC
rnacentral:rRNA from 1 species